rnacentral:tmRNA from 1 species
GGGGAUGAGUGGUUUCGACAGGGCCCGACCACCAGGGAACGCGAGCCGAGGUGCCGUCAGGCCUCGUUAAACAGGCGGCAAACCGAAGUAACUGGCAACCGCCAGUCUGCUCUCGCCCUCGCCGCGUAACGCGGUAAGGUGAGCGUGGAAGCGGCCUCGUCCCCGCGGGCCGUGGAAGCGUCAUACAGCGGGGAUGCGUCGCCGGGUAGUGCUGCGUAGCCGGCGGCAAAGCCCGCAAGGGGACGUGGCUGGACCGGACGGCCUCCUGCCGAUGGGGUGUCACCGGUCGAGAUCGAAGCAUCGGACACGCUCGUAGUGGUCCCUGGUCGAAGGUUCUGGACGGGGAGUUCGACCCUCCCCCAUCUCCACCA